CUUGAGUGUUUUAUAAACUAUUAACAGAAUUGUCAUCUUGUCUUAGAGUUGUAUGGUUGCUAUGCAGACUGAGCAGGAACUUGUGUGUGUGUGCGGGGGAGUUCUGGGAAGGAGGCUGAUCGCACCCCAGCCAUUCUUCGUGUCUUUGAAUGCCAGAUGUGGACAUGUGUGCUGUAUCAGUAUAUGGACAGAACCAGUUUUAUUCAGUAGGACUUGUAUUUGUGAAACUGUGUGUAGCCACACCCACGAUGCUGUAACAAGUGUUUUAUUUUUACCUUUCUUUAAUAAAAGGCUGUGACACAGGGCAGUUCCUCUAAGAGAAUGGUCUGUCUUUCCAUGGCCAGCCAAAGAACUUUGACUCGCUUGUGUCUUCAUUGCAUAACUUCUCUGAGUUAAUCAGUGUGUCUAACUCUGACAGUGUUCCUGGCACAUCCCACAAAGAGGAGGCUCAGGGGACGGCCCAGGACACGCUGGAGGGACUAUAUCUCUCUGCUGGCCUGGUAACGCCUUGGGCUCCCCCCAGUGGAACUGGAGGAUGUGUCCGGGGAGAGGGAAGUCUGGGUGUCUCCACUGAGUCUGCUGCCCCCGCGACCCGGUCCCGGAUGAAGCAGAAGAUGACGAGCAGAAACCUGAACCUUCUGAUCCUUCUUCAUUGAACUUUGACUUCGGUUCCAGAAGUUUCUGGACGAUCAGGUGGAUUUCGUUUGGAUUUCGUUUCCAAGUACCAAGCUGGCAGCUUCCUGUUAUCCUCCGUCUCCUGAACCAAGGCAGAAGCGUACCCUGUCCACCCUUCAGCACAAGUAAACCAUCUGGAUUUUCUCCGUUUCGCACACCUGGGUCCCUCUAUCCCUGGCGACCUGACUUCACUCACUUGUUGGCGAUUCUACCAUUCACGUUCCAGUAUCACUUUAUAAAUAAAACACCUUUCACUAAUUAA